UGUUGAAAACACCAGUUCCCGUACGAUCAUCGAAGUUAAGCAACGUCGAGCCUGAUCAGUACCUAGAUGGGUGACCGCUUGGGAAUGCCAGGUACAGU
rnacentral:rRNA from 1 species